UACGUAGGUGGCAAGCGUUGUCCGGAUUUAUUGGGUUUAAAGGGUGCGUAGGCGGUCCUGUAAGUCAGUUGUGAAAUCUCUGAGCUUAACUCAGAACGGCCAAGUGAUACUGCAGUACUAGAGUGCAGAAGGGGCAAUCAGAAUUCGUUGGUGUAGCGGUGAAAUGCGCAGGAUAUCAGGAAGAACACCCGUGGCGAAAGCGGCUCUCUGGAACGGUACUGACGCUGAGACGCGAAAGCGUGGGGAGCGAACAGG
rnacentral:rRNA from 1 species